UACGGAGGAUGCGAGCGUUAUCCGGAUUUUUUGGGUUUAAAGGGUGCGCAGGCGGCACGGCAAGCCGGCGGUCAAAUCGCGGGGCUCAACCCCGCCCAGCCGUCGGAACUGCCGGGCUAGAGUGGGCGAGAAGUGCGCGGAAUGCGUGGUGUAGCGGUGAAAUGCAUAGAUAUCACGCAGAACUCCGAUUGCGAAGGCAGCGCACCGGCGCCCUACUGACGCUCAGGCACGAAAGCGUGGGUAUCGAACAGG
rnacentral:rRNA from 1 species